ACAAGAUUUAAUUUUCUGUUAGAUAAUGCAAAUUUUUAUUAUAUGAUUGUUGUUAAUGUUCAACGUUUAGACGAAAACUGGAACAGUGCAAUGUGCAUUCAUACAAUACAAUCAAUACAUUAUUAAUCGUGAAUUCAUAAGCUACAUAAUAUUGUCUAUUUGUAAUGGAAAAAAAAUUUCAACUCAAUGAAUCGAAAUAAUUUUCAAAUGAUUGAUAAAAUACUGAAAUAAAUUUUACAGGAAACUGGGGGUGCCGAUUUGAAGCCUGGGGGUGCUAAGCACUCCCAAGCACCCCUCUAUGUGCGCCUAUGAACAGCGUAUACACUAGAGCAUUAUAGUUACAUAAUUACGGCGUUACAUUAAAUCUAAAUGCUCCGGUGUGUACCUGCCUUUAGUUAUUACGAAUAUAAAAAAAAUAAUAAUUAUAGUUUAUGAAUAAAUCUCUUUACAAGCUAUUCGCCUGUAUUAUCUGUAUGUAUUUUUCUAACACCACACCAGCAAAUAAUCUAUAUACUUAUUUAUGCAUCAAAUAUAUUAUAUUUUUAUGUUAUUUUAUAUACUACUUUUCAUGUAGAACCAGUUGACAGGUCACGAGUUUUUGAAGAAAGAAGCCACCCAUUGAUGACACUUAGCUUGUUAUUUAAUUUAAUUUAAAGAUCGCGACACCACUUCCGCUUAGGGAGUUUUUACGUCUCGGAGGAUUUUCAGAGCUGAAGGCCGCAGGUCCAUUUUUAGCGAUAUGAAAAUAAACGAUAUAGCACAUGUUCAGUGCGACACGGCAGUUCAAGUCUAUCGGAAACGCGUGUUCGCAGGGCAUCGCAGACGUAUAAUGACGAUAUCGGAUCUUCUUCCGUCCGGACAGAAGUCGACGACGGCUACCACACGUAAGCUUCAACGCCCGUUUAGACGCCGUCUUGCAGAUAACGGCCGCUUCUGUGUGUUACUGUUCCGACUCCCGUUGCCGCUGAUCUUCGUCGUACUCGGUACUGGUCAGAGCGAUUGGAAACCUGUUCGGCGGACAGUCGUCAGUGCUCGAACGCCACCGCCGGGCUGUGCGGGGCGACAGUAAAAUGCGAUGGAUAGCGAAUGGUGUCAGCGGCGCGUCGGACGACAGGUGCUGGUGGCCGGUCACUCGAACGCAUAUCUGCGCGAAUAUACCUUUUGCAGAGCAGAACUAGCCGCUAAUAGCACGGGACGUUUCAUGACCACGGCCCAGUCUCGGCGGUUACCGCACGCAGUAAGCUAAUUUAUUUGGCGUCCUAGUCGUCACUGACCGCGGUCAGCUCGCGUCCUAUGGCGAUCGCUUGUCGGCGGCUGUCUCAUCACCUCCUGUAUGCCGUCGGUCGUUCCUAAUUUCGAUUACAGGCUCUAUACAGACCCGUGACCGUCAUUCCGUUACUGUUUUAGUGUUGUUACAGCUACCGUCGGAGGACAACAAGCCAAAGCAAAUUAUGUGUGUACGUGUGCGAAGGAUAACGAUAUUCGUCGACACCAACCGUGCAACAAUAAUUAUUAUGUUUGUUAUUGAAUAAUCAAUGUAAUCACACUAAAAAUAAACAAACCGUAUGAUAAAAACUAAUCACUAUAACGAGUUUGCGGAAGUCGACGAUGAGAUGUCGAUAAUUGAGUUUUUACGAUUAUCUGCUUAAAAAUAAAAUAAAUAUUAUUAACAGCGAAAAUUUAAUAACAUACAAAAA